rnacentral:tRNA from 1 species
GGUGUGAUGGAAUGGUAGACGUAGCGGAUUCAAAAUCCGCCGGGGGCGACUCCGUGUGGGUUCGAGUCCCACCACC